AAAAUAUAAUCCGGCCGUGGUCUUCACUAUGGCAAUAAAGGUUGCUUAGAAUAGGCGUUUUGGACCCGAGGGCAGUGCUCGGCAUCUCCACUGUAUGUUGCGGGGAUGAAACAGGUUAGACAGGCGCAGUAAAGAAGUUAGCCGUUGCUCGGUGGGAAUUCCAGCCGUAUAAGUGGGUCAUUUUUAUAAGUGCAAACGAUAAUCUCGUUGCCGCUAAUGACAACUUUGACGCUAACGCUUUAGCAGCUGCAGCUUAAUGUGUCUUUAGCGCGGUUCGGGGGCUUACCGGGCAACAGAAAAGCCCCCACGUCUGUAUCCCGGUUCAUAUUAGCAAUAGCUUACCUAUAU
rnacentral:tmRNA from 1 species